UCAAUGAAGUGGAGGAUCGGGUCUGCACUGAGUAUUUUAUUGCAGUGAGAUUCUCAUUCCUCCAUUUAGCUGA
rnacentral:pre_miRNA from 1 species